CACUAUACUAUUAAUAUAUAGUCCCACUUGUCAUACACACUGCAUCUUGAAGUCCGUGUUGUAGCUGGUUACAGAUCUGUAGCCCGCUGCUCUUCUUUCUUAUCUUUUAUCUCAUUAAAAUAUAUUUAUAGCUGGCUAAUAGCAUGCUAUUGUACCUGCUCUCACCCUGUCACCAUCGUCGUCCCCGUCACCGAGCGCCGCCGCCUCCGCCUCCGCCUCUACCACCCCCUCGCGCUGCCACCUUCGCCUCUGCCUCCUCUGCCUCGCGUGGCCGUCGCCGGGCGCGCCGCCUCCGGCUCACGCCGCCGCUGCCGGCCAUCGCCUCUGGCCGCCGACGUCCGGAUCCGACCUCCCAUGUGUUUGGGGGACGCGGAUCUGACCGCCGCAGCGUCGUCCUCCGCUAUCGUCGCCAUCGCCGAGCGUCGCCGCUGCAUCCUUCGCCGCACCUCCGUCAUUCACCGCCAAAGACCGCUGUGAGCGGUCGACCUCUGGUGGAGCCGGCCGUCAUUGCCGCAACCUCGUGGGCUACAGGACGGUUGUCCGUCGAUUUGAGGAGGGAGAGGCGGCAACAGCAAUAAAGAGGGGAGAGGCCUGCCGGCGGCUGUAUGGUGGAGAAGCGCCGCCGCAGCCCGCAUCCCCUCCUCUCGCCCCUCCCUCUCCGACCCGGGCGAUUCGCAAGCCGCCGCCACCGCAUGGGCUCCAGGAACCACCAUCGUCGUGUCCCCUGGUCUCCUCAAUCCUCCUGUGCGCCACUCAUGCCGGCGAGAUGAGAUCGGAUGCCAGCGAGAUGAGAUUGGCGGCAGUGGGCAACUCCAAGAAGUCGAGAUUGAGGGCUCUGGCUACCGCCUUCGAUAACAUCUGGCCUGGUGCUGCGCCUGCCUCGGCAUAUCUGGCGAUGGUGUCGACCUCAGCGAUGACAUGGAUUGCGCUCCGACAUUUGUGGCGGAUCAAGCACACAUCAAUGGAGCCCCACUUCUCCUCCCCCACCAGCAAGGGCAGAUGGAGGCGGUGUGCGCCGGUGGCUGUAGAUCAAAUGACGACCUUGACGAUGAGGCAGCCACGAUCUCGUCUUCCCUGCUCAGUUCUUAUUCUCAUUCUCCCUGCUUGCAUCAUCCUCAAGCUUUUAAACCAAUGCUUAGCUGGCUCCUACACUGAGCGGCAAUGGUGGCACCAAAGUGCUGUCCAGGUGAUCAGUUCGCCUGUGGAUUUGUUGUUGAAAACACCACCAGGCAGCACGUGGUGGCCGAUGGUCGCGCUUCCACCAACUUCUUCAGAGUGUGGAUCCAGUCUUGAUGUUGGGGAGCUACUACUUUUCCUACAGUCUUGAUGUUUUGAUUCAUUUGGAGUUUUAGUUUGCUGUGCUCUGAUUGUGUAUUUUUCUUUAGGUUUGAUCAGCAUCUUCUGCUCGGUGCCAUUCCAUUCCACAAGACCUUCUGUUGAAGGAGCUUGGAGUUUGCAGUGUCGUGAACUGAACAAAUCCUACGAGUGGCUGGUUCCCAUGUGCCUGUAAGAGGUUCCUGGAAUUGAAAGCCUGGUGUUACCAACUAGAGAUUAUCUUUGUAUACCAUAAUUUGAGGACCUUUGCCGUGCGGCUGACUUCGUUCAAAACCACCGUUGGCAGGCUGCUGGGCAAGCUAGGAUUCAGGAGCUUGGAGCUGGGAGGCUGAUAUUAUCCCUCCUGUUCUCUGCUUCUAUGGCUGGCGGAGGAUGAGAUAAAGUGGAGUUGGGGGCAAGUGAGGGCAGUGAGGGUAUGAGGCUAUGAGCUACCUCAUUAUUUUUCAGGCAUUGCCUGAUUUUCUCCAAUUGUUAACUUACAUGCCAUUCUUUAGUUUUAGAGUGUUUAUAUAGGUGUAAUUCACUCAAUAUGUAUUUAUAUUACUCCUUUCUUGGGCAAA